rnacentral:rRNA from 1 species
AUUGAACGCUGGCGGCAGGCCUAACACAUGCAAGUCGAGCGGAUGAAGGGAGCUUGCUCCUGGAUUCAGCGGCGGACGGGUGAGUAAUGCCUAGGAAUCUGCCUGGUAGUGGGGGAUAACGUCCGGAAACGGGAGCUAAUACCGCAUACGUCCUGAGGGAGAAAGUGGGGGAUCUUCGGACCUCACGCUAUCAGAUGAGACUAGGUCGGAUUAGCUAGUUGGUGGGGUAAAGGCCUACCAAGGCGACGAUCCGUAACUGGUCUGAGAGGAUGAUCAGUCACACUGGAACUGAGACACGGUCCAGACUCCUACGGGAGGCAGCAGUGGGGAAUAUUGGACAAUGGGCGAAAGCCUGAUCCAGCCAUGCCGCGUGUGUGAAGAAGGUCUUCGGAUUGUAAAGCACUUUAAGUUGGGAGGAAGGUCAGUAAGUUAAUACCUUGCUGUUUUGACGUUACCAACAGAAUAAGCACCGGCUAACUUCGUG